rnacentral:rRNA from 1 species
CAGUCGCCGCGGGAAUACGUAGGUGGCAAGCGUUGUCCGGAAUUAUUGGGCGUAAAGGGCUCGCAGGCGGUUUCUUAAGUCUGAUGUGAAAGCCCCCGGCUCAACCGGGGAGGGUCAUUGGAAACUGGGAAACUUGAGUGCAGAAGAGGAGAGUGGAAUUCCACGUGUAGCGGUGAAAUGCGUAGAGAUGUGGAGGAACACCAGUGGCGAAGGCGAUUCUCUGGUCUGUAACUGACGCUGAGGAGCGAAAGCGUGGGGAGCGAACAGGAUUAGAUACCCGGGUAGUCCCUGUCUCUUAUAC